AGGCCUUGGGAGAGCUAGAUGAACUGAUUAAUCAGAUCUUUUGGCUUGAACUUGGUCAAACCUUAUCACUUAGAGGAAGGAGAAGUCGUAACAAGGUUUCCGUAGGUGAACCUGCGGAAGGAUCAUUC
rnacentral:rRNA from 1 species